GACAGAGGUGCCGAGCGUUAGGCGGAAUCACUGGGCUUAAAGCGUGUGUAGGCGGGCCGUUAAGUAUCUUGUGAAAUCCCCCGGCUCAACCGGGGAAUGGCUGGAUAUACUGGCGGUCUUGAGCAGUCUAGGGGCAGAUGGAACAAGUGGUGGAGCGGUGAAAUGCUUAGAUAUGACAUAGAACACCAAUUGCGAAGGCAGCUCACUACGGAUCGAUUGACACUGAGGCACGAAAGCGUGGGGAUCAAACAGG
rnacentral:rRNA from 1 species